rnacentral:misc_RNA from 1 species
GAUGAAGAACGUAGUGAAAUGCGAUAAGUAAUGUGAAUUGCAGAAUUCAGUGAAUCAUCGAGUCUUUGAACGCACAUUGCGCCCCCUGGUAUUCCGGGGGGCAUGCCUGUCCGAGCGUCAUUGCCGCCCUCAAGCACGGCUUGUGUGUUGGGCCCCCGCCCCCCGGCUUCGGGGGGCGGGCCCGAAAGGCAGCGGCGGCACCGCGUCCGGUCCUCGAGCGUAUGGGGCUUCGUCACCCGCUCUGUAGGCCCGGCCGGCGCCCGCCGGCGACCCCAAUCAAUCUUUCCAGGUUGACCUCGGAUCAGGUAGGGAUACCCGCCGAACUUAAGCAUAUCAAUAAGCGGAGGA